AGCAGUCUGCAACUCGACUGCAUGAAGCUGGAAUCGCUAGUAAUCGCGAAUCAGCAUGUCGCGGUGAAUACGUUCCCGGGUCUUGUACACACCGCCCGUCACACCAUGGGAGUCGGAAAUGCCCGAAGCCAGUGACCCAACCUUUAAGGAGGGAGCUGUCGAAGGCAGGUCUGGUAACUGGGGUGAAGUCGUAACAAGGUAAC
rnacentral:rRNA from 1 species